CAGCAGCCGCGGUAAUACAGAGGGUGCGAGCGUUAAUCAGAUUUACUGGGCGUAAAGCGUGCGUAGGCGGCUUCUUAAGUCGGAUGUGAAAUCCCUGAGCUUAACUUAGGAAUUGCAUUCGAUACUGGGAAGCUAGAGUAUGGGAGAGGAUGGUAGAAUUCCAGGUGUAGCGGUGAAAUGCGUAGAGAUCUGGAGGAAUACCGAUGGCGAAGGCAGCCAUCUGGCCUAAUACUGACGCUGAGGUACGAAAGCAUGGGGAGCAAACAGGAUUAGAUACCCGCGUAGUCCCUGUCUCUUAUAA
rnacentral:rRNA from 1 species